rnacentral:rRNA from 1 species
AUGGAAACUAAUCCUUUGAGGGGCUUGUUUGGGGUAUCUUCACCCCAACCAGAAGAGCAAAGAGUUUCUCCUCAACCUACUGAACUAUAUGAAAAUAUUCACUUUGAGAUUCCUUCGGGUAUGAUAGAAAAACUGCUAGCUAAUCCAUUUGCAGGAGAUGGAACAUUGCAUCCCGAUUUACACCUUAUCUUUGUGGAUGAAGUCUAUGGAUUAUUUAAGCUUGCAGGUAUUCCCGAUGAUGUUGUCAAAAGGAAGGUCUUUGCUUUAUCUUUGAAGGGAGAUGCUUUGACAUGGUAUAGGCUAUGUCAUGAUACGAGAUCUUGGAAUUAUAAGCGAUUGAAGUUGGAAUUUCACCAGAAGUUCUAUCCUAUGCAUCUUGUUCAUUGUGAUCAUAAUUACAUAUAUAAUUUCUGUCCUCGCGAAGGAGAAAGCAUCGCUCAAGCUUGGGGGAGGCUUAAGUCAAUGUUAUAUUUAUGCCCCAAUCAUGAGCUCUCUCAGGAAAUGAUUAUUCAGAAUUUUUAUGCUCAGCUUUUUCUUGAUAAUUGCAACCUGCUCGAUACUUCCUGUGCUGGUUCUUAUAUGCUGAAGGCUAUUGAUUUCAAAUGGUACUUAUUGGAAAGAAUUAAAUGCAACUCUGAAGAUUGGGGUUCCGACGAUGGUAAGGAGUUAGGUAUGACACCUAAGUUCGAUUGUGUUAAAUCUUUCAUGGAUACCGAUGCUUUGCGUGGAUUUAGCUCUAUGUAUGGACUUGACUCUGAGAUAGUAGCUACUUUCUGUGAAUCUUUUGCUACUCACGUUGAUCUCCCUAAAGAGAAGUAG